AUUGAACGCUGGCGGCAGGCUUAACACAUGCAAGUCGAGCGGUAGCACAGGGGAGCUUGCUCCCUGGGUGACGAGCGGCGGACGGGUGAGUAAUGUCUGGGAAACUGCCUGAUGGAGGGGGAUAACUACUGGAAACGGUAGCUAAUACCGCAUAACGUCGCAAGCCCAAAGAGGGGGACCUUCGGGCCUCUUGCCAUCAGAUGUGCCCAGAUGGGAUUAGCUAGUAGGUGGGGUAAUGGCUCACCUAGGCGACGAUCCCUAGCUGGUCUGAGAGGAUGACCAGCCACACUGGAACUGAGACACGGUCCAGACUCCUACGGGAGGCAGCAGUGGGGAAUAUUGCACAAUGGGCGCAAGCCUGAUGCAGCCAUGCCGCGUGUGUGAAGAAGGCCUUCGGGUUGUAAAGCACUUUCAGCGAGGAGGAAGGUGGUGAACUUAAUACGUUCAUCAAUUGACGUUACUCGCAGAAGAAGCACCGGCUAACUCCGU
rnacentral:rRNA from 1 species